rnacentral:rRNA from 1 species
GAUGAACGCUGGCGGCGUGCCUAAUACAUGCAAGUCGAGCGAACAGACGAGGAGCUAGCUCCUCUGACGUUAGCGGCGGACGGGUGAGUAACACGUGGAUAACCUACCUAUAAGACUGGGAUAACUUCGGGAAACCGGAGCUAAUACCGGAUAAUAUAUUGAACCGCAUGGUUCAAUAGUGAAAGACGGUUUUGCUGUCACUUAUAGAUGGAUCCGCGCCGCAUUAGCUAGUUGGUAAGGUAACGGCUUACCAAGGCAACGAUGCGUAGCCGACCUGAGAGGGUGAUCGGCCACACUGGAACUGAGACACGGUCAAGACUCCUACGGGAGGCAGAAGUAGGGAAUCUUCCGAAAUGGGCGAAAGCCUGAAGGAGAAACGCGGCGUGAGUGAUGAAGGUCUUCGGAUCGUAAAACUCUGUUAUUAGGGAAGAAAAAAUGUGUAAGUAACUAUGCACGUCUUGACGGUACCUAAUCAGAAAGCCACGGCUAACUACGUG